rnacentral:tRNA from 1 species
UGUAAGAUAAACUAAAAAAGUUAUAGGGUUCAUGCCCCUGCCAUGCCGAAAGGCUCUUAUAG